AUGGCAUUUUCUGCUGUCUUGUGUCCAGGCUUUGUUUGGUUUCUAUACCUCUUUACCUUCCUUUGCAGCCUACCACUAGCCAUCUGCAAUGAAACUGAAAAUGAUAGACAAGCUCUCCUCUGCUUCAAGUCCCGGUUCUCGGGUCCAGCAGGAGUUUUAGCUUCAUGGAGCAACACGUCCCUGGAAGUUUGCGACUGGCAUGGGAUCACGUGCAGCACGGUGUCCCCUCAUCGUGUGAUUGAGCUGCACCUGGAGUCAGAAGGCAUCUCAGGCCCCAUAGCGCCUUGCCUUGCCAACCUGACCUCUCUUGCAAGGCUUCACCUGUCAAACAAUAGCUUCAAUGGGGGCAUACCGUCGGAGCUUGGCCUCCUGAGCCAGCUCCAUGACCUCAACCUCAGCAUGAACACUUUGGAAGGUAACAUACCACCGUCUUUGGGCAGCAGCCGUUCUCUUACAUAUGUCGAUCUUGGGGUGAAUGCUCUGACAGGGGUCAUCCCGGAGUCCCUAGCAAAUAGUUCGUCCCUCCAAGUACUUUGGCUCAUGAGCAAUAGGCUUAGUGGAAAACUACCAAAAGCUCUCUUCAACACAUCAUCUCUUCUUGACAUUUCCCUCCAAAAGAACAACCUUGUUGGCUCUAUACCUGUUGUUACUGCCACCUCCCCGCCUAUUCAAUACCUCGAUUUAAGGUAUAAUCAUAUCUCAGGAAAAAUACCUUCCUCGCUAGGGAACCUUUCCUCCCUCAUCGAACUUCGUCUUACAGAAAAUAAUUUAGUAGGGCGUAUACCAGACAGCUUAGGUCAUAUCUCAACACUGGAGAUACUGACCUUAAAUGUGAAUAACUUGUCUGGGACAGUUCCACCAUCUCUCUUCAAUAUGUCAUCACUGACAUUUCUUGGAGUAGCAAACAACUCGCUUGUUGGAAGGUUACCCUCCAAUAUUGGCUACACACUCCCGAGAAUUCAGGCAUUAGUCCUCUCAACAAACAUGUUUGAUGGCCCAAUCCCAGCUUCUCUUCCCAAAGCUUACAACCUUCGUCAGCUUUACCUGUAUAAUAACAGCCUAACUGGGCUUAUACCCUUCUUUGGGUCAUUGCCAAAUUUGGAGGAACUUGAUUUGUCGUACAACAAGCUAGAAGCAGGAAACUGGGAAUUUGUCUCUUCACUCACAAAUUGUACCAGGUUGACUAUGCUGAUGUUAGUUGGGAACAAUCUUCAAGGCGAAAUGCCAAGUUCGAUAGGCAAUCUUUCUGAUAGUCUCGAGUGGCUGUGGCUAAGGGAAAACCAAAUUUCUGGGCCUAUACCACCGGAGAUUGGAAAUCUUAAGAGCCUCAGCAGGUUGUACAUGGAUUACAAUCUUAUCACUGGAAAUAUACCACCAACAAUUGGCAAUUUGCACAGCUUGGUCCAUCUAUCCUUUGCACAAAACAGACUUUCAGGGCAAAUCCCGGAUACCAUUGGUAAUUUGGUUCAGCUAAAAUCUCUGAAGUUGGAUAGGAACAACAUUAGCGGAAGAAUACCUGAAAGUAUAGGACGUUGUACUCAACUCCAAAUACUCAACCUUGCUCACAACUCACUAGAUGGGAAUAUACCAAGUGAAAUCUUCAAAAUUUCUUCGCUUUCUGAAGAGUUGGACUUGUCACACAAUUACCUAUCUGGGGGAGUACCAGUGGAAGUUGGCAAUCUCAUUAAUGUGAAUAAAAUUAGCAUAUCAGAUAACAGGUUGUCUGGCAACAUCCCAUCCACUCUUGGCCAGUGUGUGGUUCUAGAGUACUUGGAUAUUUCUCAUAACAAUUUGUCUGGAAAGAUUCCACAGUUCCUCACAUCCUUAAGUUCCCUGCAAAAUCUCAACUUAUCCUUCAACAAUUUUGAUGGGGCGGUUCCAACAGGUGGUAUUUUUUACAAUGCUAGUGGAGUGUCGAUUGAAGGAAAUGAUGAUUUGUGUACCAGCAUUCCAACAGGAGGUAUACCUCUUUGUUCCACACUAGUUGAAAAGAAAGGAAAACAAAAUUCAUCGGCUCUAGUCCUACGGAUAGCAGUUCCAACAGUUGCUGUUGUUAUAUUAAUUUUGUCAUGUCUUGCAACAAUAUACUGGAGGAAGAGGAUGCAAGAAAAUCCACAUUUGCAGGAAUUUGAUGAGCAUAUGAAGAAGAUAUCAUAUGAAGACAUUGUAAGGUCAACAAAUAGGUUUUCUCCAGCUAACCUAAUUGGAUCAGGAUCAUUUGGAGUGGUUUACAAGGGCAGUUUGAAGCUUCAGAAAGAUCAAGUUGCCAUCAAGAUUUUCAACCUUAACAAUUAUGGAGCAAAUAGGAGUUUUAUUGCAGAGUGUGAAGCCCUGCGAAAUGUCCGUCAUCGAAAUCUUGUAAAGAUCAUCACAUCAUGUUCUUCUGUGGAUUCUACUGGGGCAGAUUUCAAGGCCCUAGUGUUCCAAUACAUGCCGAAUGGGAACCUAGAAAUGUGGCUACAUCCUGAAGACCUUGAACAUGGUGAGAGACAUAUCCUGACUUUAAGACAAAGGAUAAAUAUUGGCUUGGAUGUAGCAUUUGCUUUGGAUUAUCUUCAUAACCAAUGUGCAUCUCCAUUGAUACAUUGUGACCUAAAGCCAAGCAAUAUUCUUUUGGAUCUUGACAUGGUUGCGUAUGUCACCGACUUUGGCCUGUCAAGGUUUGUAUUCACCGCGUCAAAUGCAUACAAAGAUAGUUCAACAAGUCUGGCCUGCCUAAAAGGAUCCAUCGGAUACAUCCCACCAGAGUAUGGCAUGAGCGAAGAGAUAUCAACCAAGGGUGAUGUCUACAGUUUUGGGGUGCUUCUGUUACAAAUGAUAACAGGGCGAAGUCCAACUGACGGAAAGUUCAGCGAUGGUGCAAGCCUUCACGAAUUUGUUCGUAGAGCAUUUCCAGAUAAUAUAUGUGAGAUUGUUGAUCCAACAAUGCUACAACAUGACAGCAACGCACCGGAAGUGAUGAAGAACUGUGUCAUUCCAAUGGUUAAAAUAGGCCUCUCCUGCUCCAUGACAUCGCCCAAAGAACGGCCGGACAUGGGACAUGUUUCUGCCGAGAUCCUUAGAAUCAAGCAUCUGGCCUCACACAUGGAUGUCAGAUGA
rnacentral:rRNA from 1 species